rnacentral:rRNA from 1 species
UACGUAGGGUCCGAGCGUUGUCCGGAAUUAUUGGGCGUAAAGAGCUCGUAGGCGGUCUGUCGCGUCUGCUGUGAAAACUCGGGGCUUAACCCCGGGCCUGCAGUGGGUACGGGCAGACUAGAGUGCGGUAGGGGAGACUGGAAUUCCUGGUGUAGCGGUGAAAUGCGCAGAUAUCAGGAGGAACACCGGUGGCGAAGGCGGGUCUCUGGGCCGAUACUGACGCUGAGGAGCGAAAGCGUGGGGAGCGAACAGG